CAGGCCUAACACAUGCAAGUCGAAUGAGAUCUUUCGGGGUCUAGUGGCGCACGGGUGCGUAACGCGUGGGAAUCUGCCCUUGGGUUCGGAAUAACAGCGAGAAAUUGCUGCUAAUACCGGAUAAUGACGUAAGUCCAAAGAUUUAUCGCCCAGGGAUGAGCCCGCGUAGGAUUAGCUAGUUGGUGUGGUAAAGGCGCACCAAGGCGACGAUCCUUAGCUGGUCUGAGAGGAUGAUCAGCCACACUGGGACUGAGACACGGCCCAAACUCCUACGGGAGGCAGCAGUGGGAAUAUUGGACAAUGGGCGCAAGCCUGAUCCAGCCAUGCCGCGUGAGUGAUGACGGCCUUAGGGUUGUAAAGCUCUUUCGCACGCGACGAUAAUGACGGUAGCGUGAGAAGAAGCCCCGGCUAACUUCGUGCCAGCAGCCGCGGUAAU
rnacentral:rRNA from 1 species